UUCUAUGAAGGACAUAUCUCUUUGUGCAGCAGGUUCCUGACUGUGUGAUAGGAAGUAUAGCUCUGAUAGAAGAAUUGCAAUGUCAUUUACAAAGAAAGGAAGGAGAAAGGCUGCCUAGUGAGGUUGUGGAUGCCUCUUGCCUGGAAGCAUUCAAGUCCAGGCUGGUUGGGGCUUUGAGUCACCUGGUUGAGGGGGAGGUAUCCCUGUCUACAUCAGGGGUGUUGUAACUAGAUGAUCUUAAAGAUUCCUUCUAACCCAAACAAUUCUAUGGUUCUUUGAUUCUAUAUGGAAUAAAUCCAUGCAAUAGCAGGCAAAAGGGAGAGCUGGAACCCUGUAGUCUUGUGCAGAUCCAUCUAUCAAGCUGGACAACAUCUACACAUGGACCUCCAGCGGUGUUAGAGGACAGAAGACUCAGCAGUAAAAACUCUGUGGCUUCAGUGACUGGAGAUGAUGGCCACUGUUGAUGCAGAUCAAAAGCUUCCUCUGAAACUCAUGUAAUGCAGCAGGCCAGUUCACAACACCACAUUGCAGUGAAAGUUUACAUGGCGAGACUUCAUCCGCAUGAUACAUGUCUUACUGGAACUCAAGUCAGAACACCACACUGGGACAUCAUGACUACAGCUCAUUGGGAAUAGUGCCAUCUGAUGAAUCAACAAAAAGUCUGCCAACAGACAUCCUUGCAGUCUUGAACUCAGUUCUGCUGAUACAUCUGCAUAACCUUGACAAGCAUUAUGGAGAGCAUAGAUUUCUCCGUUUCUGACUCACAAAGGUAAUAACAAGAAAUCAAACUAAUUCUGGUCAUAAUCUACCCUGAAUUGCAGCUCCCACCAGCUUGCUGAAGGUCGUCACUUUUAUCCUUGGAGCCGUGUUUUCCCUCUUGUGUCAGCACAGCAUGCUGAAACAGCCGGGGCAUUCUUGGGUGUUCACUGACUGCUUUCUGACCAUAUAUUUUAUUGACAGUGUUAACUAAAAGCAUUUUAAAGGAGCUUCCCAGAAGGAUAAAGAAGUUAUUAGUGACUGAACCAUGAAGACUUCAGAAUCAAGGUCACGACUGCACAGAAGCAUGGAGUGAAGUACAUACACUCUGAGAACUGUAAACCUGGAUAUUUAAGCAUUUGCAGCACCUACAACUUUUGCUGCUGCUCUGUGAAAUACAGCUUCAUUUGCUGGUGAAUCAGUCUUAUAAAAAUGGUAAUUGUGAAGUGCAGUUGCUAGCUGUAUCAGGAGAAAAGGGAUUUUACGUGUAAUGGAGAUUCUUUUAAUGAUAAAUUAUCUAGCUCCUGGCUACCAUGUAUGAGCUCUAUUAAUUGGCAAUAAAUUGUUCAUCAUUAAAUCUAGUUCACUCUUCUUAA